AAUACGCCAAAUGGAAAAAUCAGCUUCAAAGAAUCACGUCUCCACAUCAGUAAUAUCUCUCCAGAAAGUCAUCUUCGUUUCAGCCAGAUUUCUUGGGGUGUCACAGCGUACCUUGACCUGACCAUCUCUUCCUUCACUCCCAGCAAGCCUGUGCAAGCCAUAUGUCAGGAAGGAGGAAUUCAAUGAUAGACAAUUGUCAGUGAUGGCACUGGGCAUGUCAUCUGCCACUGGGUGAUCAGGAGCUGAGAAACAUGAGGUGACAUGCAGUGGAAAUUAAGAUAUCAGAACAGAGAGAUGACUUCUUGUCCAAGAAAGGCAGAAGAGUCUGGAAUGCUCAAACCAGGCUCAAGUGAAAAAAAUUCCUCGUUAAAUUCCACAGUGAUUCAUCCAGAAGUCCUGUAGUGCCAAAGUUUUAUUCAAA
rnacentral:lncRNA from 1 species